GAACGGGUGAGUAACACGUGGGCAAUCUGCCCUUCACUCUGGGACAAGCCCUGGAAACGGGGUCUAAUACCGGAUAACACUCUGUCCCGCAUGGGACGGGGUUGAAAGCUCCGGCGGUGAAGGAUGAGCCCGCGGCCUAUCAGCUUGUUGGUGGGGUGAUGGCCUACCAAGGCGACGACGGGUAGCCGGCCUGAGAGGGCGACCGGCCACACUGGGACUGAGACACGGCCCAGACUCCUACGGGAGGCAGCAGUGGGGAAUAUUGCACAAUGGGCGAAAGCCUGAUGCAGCGACGCCGCGUGAGGGAUGACGGCCUUCGGGUUGUAAACCUCUUUCAGCAGGGAAGAAGCGAAAGUGACGGUACCUGCAGAAGAAGCGCCGGCUAACUACGUGCCAGCAGCCGCGGUAAUACGUAGGGCGCAAGCGUUGUCCGGAAUUAUUGGGCGUAAAGAGCUCGUAGGCGGCUUGUUGCGUCGGUUGUGAAAGCCCGGGGCUUAACCCCGGGUCUGCAGUCGAUACGGGCAGGCUAGAGUGUGGUAGGGGAGAUCGGAAUUCCUGGUGUAGCGGUGAAAUGCGCAGAUAUCAGGAGGAACACCGGUGGCGAAGGCGGAUCUCUGGGCCAUACUGACG
rnacentral:rRNA from 1 species